rnacentral:rRNA from 1 species
AUUGAACGCUGGCGGCAGGCCUAACACAUGCAAGUCGAGCGGAGCGGCGGACGGGUGAGUAAUGCCUAGGAAUCUGCCUGGUCGUGGGGGAUCACGUCCGGAAACGGGCGCUAAUACCGCAUACUAUCAGAUGAGCCUAGGUCGGAGUAGCUAGUUGGUGGGGUAAAGGCCUACCAAGGCGACGAUCCGUAACGGGCCUGAUAGGAUGAUCAGUCACACGGGAACUGAGACACGGCCCAGACGCCGACGGGAGGCAGCAGUGGGGAAUAUUGGACAAGGGGCGAAAGCCGGAUCCAGCCAUGCCGCGUGUGUGAAGAAGGUCUUCGGAUUGUAAAGCACUUUAAGUUGGGAGGCGGUACCAAAAGAAUAAGCACCGGCUAACUACGUGCCAGCAGCCGCGGUAAUUC